CCAGGUAUCCUGUUUGGUGGAAGCCUGCUGAGUCUAUUGGCAGAGGGAAGCCAUUGCAACUUAUGACAGCAUACAAGAUCCUAAAGCCCUGCAGCUCCCUGGAGCCAUCUUCUGGAGUAAACAGACUCUGCAACAUCAUCCACUUGCCUCCACCCCCUGCCAUAGCCCUCACCUGAGGAUGCUGUGGGCAACUGCAGGUCUCCGCCCUCCAGGCUGCUGCUGCCAGACCCCGAUACCUCCACACUUGUGUAGAAGCCCCUGCUCCCCAGGGCUCCUGCCAUCCUGCUGAACACCCUCUGCCCCUCCUAGGAAGGGAGCAGAGAAAGUCAUGUGUGUCUGCAACGAUGGGUUCGCAGGAGAUGGUCAGAUCCACUAGGGAAGCAUCUGCAUCUGCCUGGCUCACCACAUGGUAAAGCUAAUAAACAGUAACUAUUUCCCCGAAUGA
rnacentral:lncRNA from 1 species